GCGUCUUGUUACUAAUAAAUCAACACUAUAUGAUAAUAUAUAAGAACUCACAAAGUGCAGUCACCUUUUUAUAAAUAAACCUUUUUAAAAGCAUGUCAUUGUCAUUGCAGACCAGAGGCUAAAAGCACAGCCACAUAGGCCUACCAGAUUUAUUAAGCAAUCGUGAGAGUAUAUACAUGGAAAGAAUAUGCACCCCGUAGCCUAUAAUGACGAAAGCACCGCGUAUAAUGCUCGAACCACUGUGUAUAAUGGCGAACGCACCGCGUAUAAUCGGGCGAAAGCACCACGUAUAAUGCUCGAACCACAGUGCGUAUAAUAGCGAUUAGCGAAACCACCGCGUAUAACGCUCGAACCACUGCGUAUCGACAAAAUGCCGUUUGAUCACUUACGCCAGCUAUGGCUUUCCAUAAAAGAAAACCAAAGAUGAAAGAUGAUCACAUUGCUUGUUUGCCUUAUGCCUGUUUAUAUUCAAGAAUAGCCUGCCAGCCCGGAAGAAGCGCAUUGUGGUAGGCCGAAAUACGCCAAAACGAUCGAG